AGAGUUUGAUCCUGGCUCAGGAUGAACGCUGGCGGCGUGCCUAAUACAUGCAAGUCGAACGAAUCUUCUUCGGAAGAUGAGUGGCGAACGGGUGAGUAAUACAUAGGUAACCUGCCCCUGUGCGGGGGAUAACAGGAGGAAACUCCUGCUAAUACCGCAUAGCCAUGAGCACCGCAUGGAGCUCAUGCCAAAUAUCCUUCACGGGAUAGCGCAGGGAUGGACCUAUGGCGCAUUAGCUAGUUGGCGGGGCAACGGCCCACCAAGGCAACGAUGCGUAGCCGGCCUGAGAGGGCGGACGGCCACAUUGGGACUGAGACACGGCCCAGACUCCUACGGGAGGCAGCAGUAGGGAAUUUUCGGCAAUGGGGGAAACCCUGACCGAGCAACGCCGCGUGAGCGAAGAAGGCCUUCGGGUCGUAAAGCUCUGUUGUAAAGGAAGAACGUCGGACACAGGAAAUGGUGUGCGAGUGACGGUACUUUACCAGAAAGCCACGGCUAACUACGUGCCAGCAGCCGCGGUAAUACGUAGGUGGCGAGCGUUAUCC
rnacentral:rRNA from 1 species